rnacentral:tRNA from 1 species
GCCCCAAUAGCCUAGUGGUGACUGCGUCCGCCUUGCACGCGGGAGACCCGGGUUUGAUUCCCGGCGGGGCU